GACAGAGGCCUCAAGCGUUAGGCGGAAUCACUGGGCUUAAAGCGUGUGUAGGCGGAUCGUUAAGUGUCUUGUGAAAUCCCACGGCUCACCCGUGGAACGGCUGGGCAUACUGGCGAUCUUGGGCCAACUAGGGGCAACUGGAACAAGCGGUGGGAGCGGUGAAAUGCGUAGAUAUCGCUUGGAACGCCAAAGGUGAAAACAGGUUGCUGGGGUUGUGCCGA
rnacentral:rRNA from 1 species